rnacentral:lncRNA from 1 species
AAACUAAAACUAAAAAAUAAAACAUCAAUGAUGAUGGAGGAGAUGCAACCUAGAACUAAUUGGGUAUAAAUUGAUUGGACUGCCACUUUUAUUUAUUUAUUUUUUGUUUUUUUAAUGUUGUUGCCCCUACCAGCUGCAUUUUCGAGGAAACAAGAGCACUAGCCAGUAGCCACCGCUGAGAUUUUAAUGCCAAGAGAGGUCAAACAUGAAUUAAAAAUGUUCCCUUUCAAUAAUGAGG